CGUCAUCAUCGAACGUGAUGGAGAACAGCGAUGAGGGUGUUUACAAAUGAACAGAUGAGACACACGUGUGUUUAUCUGCUGCAGAGUGACUGAUGAAGCAAUGCUGCCAUCAAAGGCUUUGAAGCUUUUGUGGUGGAGCAGG